rnacentral:rRNA from 1 species
AAACUUAAAUGAAUUGACGGGGGCCCGCACAAGCGGUGGAGCAUGUGGUUUAACUCGAUGCAACGCGAAGAACCUUACCUACUCUUGACAUCCAGCGAAUCCUUUAGAGAUAGAGGAGUGCCUUCGGGAACGCUGAGACAGGUGCUGCAUGGCUGUCGUCAGCUCGUGUUGUGAAAUGUUGGGUUAAGUCCCGCAACGAGCGCAACCCUUAUCCUUUGUUGCCAGCACGUGAUGGUGGGAACUCAAAGGAGACUGCCGGUGAUAAACCGGAGGAAGGUGGGGAUGACGUCAAGUCAUCAUGGCCCUUACGAGUAGGGCUACACACGUGCUACAAUGGCAGAUACAAAGAGAAGCGACCUCGCGAGAGCAAGCGGAACUCAUAAAGUCUGUCGUAGUCCGGAUUGGAGUCUGCAACUCGACUCCAUGAAGUCGGAAUCGCUAGUAAUCGUAGAUCAGAAUGCUACGGUGAAUACGUUCCCGGGCCUUGUACACACCGCCCGU